UAUUGUGUGCACAACGGUCAUUGUGGCUCCCAAAAGACCUGAAAGAUGCUGCAUCCACAUGGUCUUUUCCAGUUGACCGUACCAACUAUGGGUUUUUGUAAAAUAUUAAUUAGGACGCGCAAAGCUGUCGAACAGCAUGAAAACUCUUUCGGAUGGCGUGGAUAUUGCCCAAGUUCAUAAACUCAAUUUCUGCACAGGGGUAGUACUCAAUGCACUCACAGCCGCCACCUCUGGCCCGAUUUGUAACCGCGGAUGUGUAGCUCCGAGCAUCCACAAUGAGGAUUUUCUGCGCAGGAAUAAAUAAAUAAUAGUAAAUAAAUGUGUUCAACAUUA